AGGACCGCGGCACUGACCGGAAGUGCCUUGCCGCGGAGCCUCUCGGAAGUUGUAGUUCUGCCGCAGUCCAGAGGCACCUACGCAGUGCAGGGGUGUCCGAGUGUGAUCUGCGCACUUCCGGACCCCAGGCUGGUCUUGCGGCGUCCAGCACUUCGGACCUGGUCGGUUCUGAGGUCUCCGCGGCACCUCGGACUGGUGGUUCCCUCGGCUGCCGGCUGCAGAGAGGGCACGUGUGACGGAAUCCACGCUGCAGAGCCAGGUUUUCUUAGUGUCUUUGCAAAGGCUUAGAAUCGGACCGUAGCUCAGGCGGCUCGGUCCUAUCUGCAUAUUCAAGCUUGUUUCUACCCCCAGAGAGUCUCGAGGCGGGAGCUGAGCCGCCAGCUGACGGUAAGUUCCCCGCAGGAGAGCAGCGCUUUGGCGAUCGGAAUUGGCCCCGGUCCUCGGAUCCCAGGCAUCCCCGAGUAGAGUCAGCCUCCUUCAGAAGGUGCCCUGGGGAGCAGGAAUCCCCCUGGAAGGAGGGCUCCCUCUCCAACACCUCUCGGUAGCUUAGGGUUGAAGUUGGAGCCUCACAAUAUGCCCCCCCCCGCCCCAAAGUGCCCCUAAAACAGUCCGGGUCCUGCUGACAGAACUGGGGUGCUGUCAUCGCCUCGGGAUCGUGUAGGAGUUGGUUUAGGGGAAGGUGUUGCAGGAGGAGAGGGCGUCUCCUGCUUUUAGGGUGUGAGAGGCAUACACGAGGAGGGAAGGGCCCCCCAUGGCUGUCAGAGGGCGACCCCCGCCACCGAUUUCUCUCCACUCGUAAGCGAGCGCUGGCUCCUUCUAGGCGUGCGUCUCGCUAGAGCUGGAGCCGGUCCCACCCCACCGUCCCCGCCACGUGUGACUUCCAGCGACAUGUAGCCCCCCACCCCCCGUAGCUGAGUCAAGGCCCAGAAGUUGCGUUCUUAACCUAAGAGUAUCUCGUUUUUCCUUCUCCGUUAAAGACGAAAGAAAAUGGGCGUGAGAGAGGCGCUCCGAGCCACCCAGCUCGCGCGCGCCGAGCCAGCACUACCCCCAGGGCUCCCGUCCGAGGAGGCGGGGCGGGGCCCUCACCGCUAAGCCCCGCCCCUCCCCUCCUCCACCCCCUCCGAGCUUCUCCCGGAUUUCCUCUCCUCCAGGGGCAGGAUCUUGAUAGGAGGUCAUGGAGAGAGAACCCAGUAAGAUGAUAUAUGUAUAUUUUUCUGAACUAUUUAAGUAUGAAACAAUGAGCACGUUUAUUGUUUAAGAAAUUAGCACAUGUAAAAACAAAUCCUAC
rnacentral:lncRNA from 1 species